AACGCAGGUGACGAGCGUUAUCCGGAUUUACUGGGCGUAAAGCGUGUGCAGGCGGUUCGGCAAGUUGGAUGUGAAAUCUCCCGGCUCAACUGGGAGGGGUCGUUCAAUACUACCGAACUUGAGGUCAUCAGAGGAAGAUGGAAUUCCCGGUGUAGUGGUGAAAUGCGUAGAUAUCGGGAGGAACACCAGUGGCGAAGGCGGUCUUCUGGGAUAAUCCUGACGCUCAGACACGAAAGCUAGGGGAGCGAACGGG
rnacentral:rRNA from 1 species